rnacentral:rRNA from 1 species
CCUACGGGAGACUGCAGUGAGGAAUAUUGGUCAAUGGACGCGAGUCUGAACCAGCCAAGUAGCGUGAAGGAUGACUGCCCUAUGGGUUGUAAACCUCUUUUAUAAAGGAAUAAAACGAGCCACGUGUGCCUUUUUGCAUGUUCUCUAUGAAUAAGGCUCGGCUAACUCCGUGCCAGCAGCCGCGGUAAUACGGAGGAUCCGAGCGUUAUCCGGAUUUAUUGGGUUUAAAGGGAGCGUAGAUGGGUUGUUAAGUCAGUUGUGAAAGUUUGCGGUUCAACCGUAAAAUUGCAAUUGAUACUGGCAGUCUUGAGUAGAGUUGAGGUAGGCGGAAUUCGUGGUGUAGCGGUGAAAUGCUUAGAUAUCACGAAGAACCCCGAUUGCGAAGGCAGCAUACUAAACUGUGACUGACAUUGAUGCUCGAAAGUGUGGGUAUCGAACAGGAUUAGAUACCCGUGUAGUC